rnacentral:rRNA from 1 species
GCAGUCGAACGGCAGCACGGACUUCGGUCUGGUGGCGAGUGGCGAACGGGUGAGUAAUACAUCGGAACGUGCCCAGUCGUGGGGGAUAACGUAGCGAAAGUUACGCUAAUACCGCAUACGAUCUAAGGAUGAAAGCGGGGGACCGUAAGGCCUCGCGCGAUUGGAGCGGCCGAUGUCAGAUUAGGUAGUUGGUGGGGUAAAGGCUCACCAAGCCAACGAUCUGUAGCUGGUCUGAGAGGACGACCAGCCACACUGGAACUGAGACACGGUCCAGACUCCUACGGGAGGCAGCAGUGGGGAAUUUUGGACAAUGGACGCAAGUCUGAUCCAGCCAUUCCGCGUGCAGGAUGAAGGCCCUCGGGUUGUAAACUGCUUUUGUACGGAACGAAAAGGCUCUUCCUAAUACGAGGGGCUCAUGACGGUACCGUAAGAAUAAGCACCGGCUAACUACGUGCCAGCAGCCGCGGUAAUACGUAGGGUGCAAGCGUUAAUCGGAAUUACUGGGCGUAAAGCGUGCGCAGGCGGUGAUGUAAGACAGAGGUGAAAUCCCCGGGCUCAACCUGGGAACUGCCUUUGUGACUGCAUCGCUGGAGUACGGCAGAGGGGGAUGGAAUUCCGCGUGUAGCAGUGAAAUGCGUAGAUAUGCGGAGGAACACCGAUGGCGAAGGCAAUCCCCUGGGCCUGUACUGACGCUCAUGCACGAAAGCGUGGGGAGCAAACAGGAUUAGAUACCCUGGUAGUCCACGCCCUAAACGAUGUCAACUGGUUGUUGGGUCUUCACUGACUCAGUAACGAAGCUAACGCGUGAAGUUGACCGCCUGGGGAGUACGGCCGCAAG